rnacentral:tRNA from 1 species
GGGCAUAUAGCACAAGAGGUUAGUGCAACACUCUCAUAAAGUGUAGGUUGCUGGUUCAAAUCUAGCUAUGCCCA